GUGAGUAACACGUGAGUAAUCUGCCCUUCACUCUGGGAUAAGCUUCGGAAACGGGGUCUAAUACCGGAUAUGACUGCCCUGCGCAUGUGGGGUGGUGGAAAGUGUUUUAGCGGUGGGGGAUGUGCUCGCGGCCUAUCAGCUUGUUGGUGGGGUAAUGGCCUACCAAGGCUUUGACGGGUAGCCGGCCUGAGAGGGUGACCGGUCACACUGGGACUGAGACACGGCCCAGACUCCUACGGGAGGCAGCAGUGGGGAAUAUUGGACAAUGGGCGGAAGCCUGAUCCAGCAACGCCGCGUGAGGGAUGACGGCCUUCGGGUUGUAAACCUCUUUCAGUAUCGACGAAGCUUCCGUCUUUUGGUGGGGGUGACGGUAGGUACAGAAGAAGCACCGGCCAACUACGUGCCAGCAGCCGCGGUAAUACGUAGGGUGCGAGCGUUGUCCGGAAUUAUUGGGCGUAAAGGGCUCGUAGGCGGUUUGUCGCGUCGGGAGUGAAAACAUCUGGCUUAACUGGGUGCUUGCUUUCGAUACGGGCAGACUUGAGGCAUGCAGGGGAGAAUGGAAUUCCUGGUGUAGCGGUGAAAUGCGCAGAUAUCAGGAGGAACACCGGUGGCGAAGGCGGUUCUCUGGGCAUGUCCUGACGCUGAGGAGCGAAAGUGUG
rnacentral:rRNA from 1 species